AACGAACGCUGGCGGCAUGCCUAACACAUGCAAGUCGAACGAGUGCCUUCGGGUGCUAGUGGCGCACGGGUGCGUAACGCGUGGGAAUCUGCCCUUUGGUUCGGAAUAACAGUUGGAAACGACUGCUAAUACCGGAUGAUGACGAAAGUCCAAAGAUUUAUCGCCAGAGGAUGAGCCCGCGUAGGAUUAGCUAGUUGGUG
rnacentral:rRNA from 1 species